GUAGUGGCUCGGUGGUAGAGCUCUCGCUUCCUACGCGAAAAGAUGUGGGUUCGAUUCCCGGCUGC
rnacentral:tRNA from 1 species